rnacentral:tRNA from 1 species
GGGGUGGUCGUCUAGAGUCUUCAAGAUAUAGACCUUCUGAGCCUGGGGCGUUGGAGCUCGAGGGUUCAAAUCCCCCCCACCCCACCA